UUGCUUGUUUUAGGGAUUUUGCAUCUGAGUCUGACAUCGUAGAAGGACCAUUCUAGUAUCAGAUUGGAUUUUGCACCUGAGUCUGACAUCGUAGAAGGACCAUUCUGGUAUCAGAUUGAAAGGAUUUUGCACCUGAAUAUGACAUCGUAGAAGGACCAUUCUAGUAUCAGAUUGGAUUUUGCACCUGAGUCUAACAUCGUAGAAGGACCAUUUUGGUAUCAGAUUGGAUUUUGCACCUGAGUCUGACAUCGUAGAAGGACCAUUCUAGUAUCAGAUUGGAUUUUGCACCUGAGUCUGACAUCGUAGAAGGACCAUUCUGGUAUCAGAUUGUAAGGAUUUUGCACCUGAGUCUGACAUCGUAGAAGGACCAUUCUAGUAUCAGAUUG